GUACCAAGAGGGUGCAGCUCAGAUGACACAGGCCCAUAGCAGUUGCCCUGUUUUUCCCAUUGAAGUGGAAGCAUUUGGAUUUCAGCUGGUCACAUUUUCUGUACAGCGUUUACACCAUCGUGGAGUUCACGCCCCUCAAGAAGGCCUUAGAUGAAACUGCAGAGAUUCAGUCAUAUUUUCUGGUUUUACUACCAUGAGACUUAACCUAAGGAAGAGAAAAGGAAGUGGGUCACAGGGGAGCAGAAAAGGCCGUGACUCUUGCUGAAAACUGCUCAGCAAUAAUGAAAACAUCCCCAAAUUAUCAGCACUGUUUCCAGUGCAAAUCCAAAAUACAACCCCAUAGCAGCUACUGGGAAGGAAACGAAGGACCCCAGCCCAAAGCAGCACACUGAGGUGUUUGCAUUGUCUCUUUCUACUUUUAAUAAUGGCUUUUUAUGUGACAGUGUGAUGGCUGAAAAGCAACCUGAUGCAGCGGCUACAUAAAUUUGGAAAACUCUUCUUGAAAUCUCUGGUAUAACCUGUGUACUAUAGUGUGUCCAAAUGGAUUUAGUGUAUCAUAACGCUCCUAGAAAAACAAAGGGACAAAGAAGAUGGGAUUGCUAAGGGAGACAUUAGAUUUCAUUUCACACUGGUAAUAGUUUAGAGACGUGUGCUGAGCAAAAUGUGAUUCAAUUCUGCGGCACUUUUCUUUUUUAUUGCUGCUAAGUGAUUUCAAUAUCCAGUCUAAAGUGAUAUUGAGAGUGUUCGAUAGAACGGGGAUGAAAUCAGGGAGCGCUGGAGGCUCAGAGGAGGCCACAAAUCUCAGGUUGACUGGGCGAAGCCUUUCGGAGCCAUCCCCACCUGACCUUAACCCAUCUUAUUUAACCUGGAGGCUGCUGUUGAAAGCAGAUGGAGAUUGCUACACAAACAGGGAGGAAUACCUGUAGUCGAUGGUCACAAACAUGGUACUUGGGGGCUGCUUCUCAAAGCUAAGGAACUCCUUUCAGCUUCUGAUAAACACGCAGCUAGAAAAGGUGAGUGUUGUUAUUUGUUCUACAUCUUUUGCAUUAUUGAUGAUUGGAGUAAUUUCUCAGUUUCUUGAAUUUUAACUCAGUUGUUAAA
rnacentral:lncRNA from 1 species